rnacentral:rRNA from 1 species
UACGUAGGGGGCAAGCGUUGUCCGGAUUUAUUGGGCGUAAAGAGCGUGUAGGCGGCCAAGCAGGUCCGCUGUGAAAACUCGAGGCUCAACCUCGAGACGUCGGUGGAAACCGUUUGGCUAGAGUCCGGAAGAGGAGAGUGGAAUUCCCGGUGUAGCGGUGGAAUGCGCAGAUAUCAGGAGGAACACCAAUAGCGAAGGCAGCUCGCUGGGACGGUACUGACGCUAAGGCGCGAAAGCGUGGGGAGCGAACAGG